ACAAACCCUAGUUUCUGAAUCCCGCCUUCAAAGCCUCUGACCUUAGGUUUGAGGCCGAGGUGGACGCGAAGUUCACUCUAUGCUUGAAGCUGAAGGGAAUCGCAGCGUGAGAGCUCAAGCAAACCCUAGCCUAGCCCUACUUGCUUUGAAGCCUCGCCAAAUACUGCUGGCCCGUGCGGAGCAAAGCUCGAAGUCGACGACGAUGAAGAAGCAAGCCGGAGGCAGCGUCGGCAAAGCCGGCUCAUUGAAUUCGGAGCAGAAGGCCAUUCUUCUACACUCCGUCCUUGGAUACCUUCAGCUCAAUGGCUUCUCCAGAACUCUCAAACGUUUACUCUCAGAAGCACAAAUCGAGAAUGACAGCUGGAGGACGUGCUCGGUAAAUUUGGAAGAUAUAUGCAUCAACUAUUUGGAGACAGGUACUCAAGCUGACACAAAUUCUGAUGCCAAACAGCAAGGCUUACUGACUGACAGUAUUACCAUGAAAGAUGGAGACAGCCACUGUUCUGUGGUUGAGCAAACUGUUGGAAAGAAAAAGAAAAAGAAAAGUUCUGAGAGUGAGAGCAAUACGUGUGUAACUGCCAAUAAAUUUGCUGAAUCUGCUAAGAACUCCAGGGAGAGACUGGUCAAUGAUUUGCCUAUAGAUUCAAAAGUAGAUCUGAAAGAGAGAGAGAGAUCCAAAAAGCAUCAAUCUGAGCAAGUCAAUGCACAAACACUGAAGGAGCCCAUAACUGAUGCACUCUGUGAACUUCAGGCUGAUGAAUCUGCUAAAAAACAGAAGGACAAGAAGAAAAAGAAAAGCAAUUCAGUUUCUGAACAACUUGAUGGCAAUGUGGAACAAGUCCAGUUAGAUUCGCAGCUGGCAGGGAAUGAAGAGAGAUGCCAAAAUUUAAAACCUUCAUUAGGUGAUGAUAAAAUUGCUUUCAAGGCAGAAGUUAUAAAUAAAAAGAAGAAAAAGAAGUCGAGCACUAACGCUCUAGGUUGUGAUGCUGAGCAUAGUGGCUUGGAGAAUGUGGAUGAUGUAUUAUUGGAUGAGAAAAAAGUUGAAUCUAAACAUAGAAAGAGAAGGAAAGAGGAUUCAGUUUCUGAAGCACUUUGUCGUGAGGUUGCUCAAAUGUCUCAAAAGGAAGAUUCAGUAGAAGUUGUAGCAAAGAGGGAACUUCAGAGUUCAGAGGAUGCAAUUGACAAGGACAGAAAUAAGUCAAAGAAAAGAAAACGAUUGGCUAAGGCUGAAAAUGAGGGGCAGGCUGUUGAGAAAGUGGGAAGUGAGGACUCAAAACGCAGAAAAACUGAAGGCUUGGAACCAACCAAGAAUAGUGAACAACUUUCAGAAGCAAAUGCAGUUAUAGGAGAUAACGAGCAGGGUGGGCAAGAAAGUAAGGGGGAAGAUGGUCUUGUUGGUCAAAAUGAUUUCCAAAAUACAUCUAUGAAUCAAAUUAAGGUGAAUGGAAAUGGGAGCGUUGAAGAGGAUGGAGGUAAACCUGGUGCUCAGAAAAACAGAAGAAAGGAGCAUACUAGUUCAGCUGAGCCAAAGACAAUAAAUGCAUUUCAAAGGAUAAAAACUGAUCAGGUGCAAUUUGCUGAUGAGAGGCUCCAAGAUAAUUCUUACUGGGCAAAGGAUGGUGCAGAUGUUGGAUAUGGUGCUAAAGCACAGGAAAUUCUGGGUCAGGUCAGAGGAAGGGAUUUUCGUCAUGAAAAGACAAAGAAGAAGCGGGGUUCUUACAGAGGGGGGCAGAUUGAUCUGCAAUCCCAUUCAGUGAAGUUCAACUACGACGAUGACGAUUGAGAGGCUUCUUCCCAUUUUGGCUGCGUGCGGGACUGAUCAUUUUUUGUGGUUCAUUAAUGCGGCUAAAUUCUGGCAUUGAUGUCCCAUGACUUCAAUUUCGAGAAUUUGCAAUGUCAAAUCCUUCCAAAAUCCUCAUGUUUUUCUGAAUGGGUUAGAUGGACCUUUUAACGAGAGGAUGUGCCAAGAAACUAUAACAGGUUUCUUUCAUCUCGGGAUUGAACGUUUUUUAGGUGAUUUUUUGGAUGCGCGGUUUGUAGGUUAUUAUGUAUGUUCGGGUAGUAGUUUAUGUUUAUUAUUUAGCA